rnacentral:misc_RNA from 1 species
GAUACUGCUAUACUGUUGAGGGAAGUGGCUAGCCAGGUGGUAGCUGAAAGAGCGAGAGAUCAUGCAGCUGAUGGCGGGGCUACAGCUGGGCGAGGAGGAGCGGCGCGAGUUGCCGCACGUCAUGCGACAGAGACACGCGCCCAGAUAACACAACGCCACAACUGCAAGGGCGCCACCUGUCGGCUGAUGACGAAGCAGUGCGCCAUCGGAGCCAACACAUUUUACCUCGAUCACGAAAUAAACGAACACAACCAAAUAACUUGUGCACUCAAAUGACAACGAUCAAACGUCAAACGGAACGUAACGUAACGUUCGGAUAAAAUAACGUUACAAUAAACACGUUAUUUUUUUGGAUAACUAGUUCUUGGGAAUGACAUUUGAGUGAACGAUGAACAUUAAACUAUUAAUGUAAUUAUAAAAAAAAUGCUGGUCAACUGUUAUCAAUCUUUGUAUUGAAACCAAAUCAGCAAUGUAUAUUAAAAUGUCAUUCGUUAAACAAAAUCGAGUACCAAGCCGUAAAACAAAAUAUAAUAACCCAAUUUCAAAAUACGAACGCGGCAUAACGAUCGUAGAAUCGAAUCGAGGUUCGGCUUAAUCGAUUUGUCACGAACGUUCUCGGGUUGUUUCCGAUUAUCGAUUAAUUACUUUAGAAAUCCGUACCUACGCUAAACAGGGUACCUAAGAAACUGUAAUUUAAUUAUUUCUAGUAAUUAAAUAUCGAUUUUUAUCUAUGGAUGUUUAAGGAUCAUUAAAACGAUGAUUGCAUCAGAAAACGUUCGAGGCCGUGAAGGGUCUGAGUUUAUUGAAUAAGUAAAAUUUGAAACGUUAUGUUGUUAAUAUCAUUUGUAUAUUUCAUUUUAAUAUGUUUAGCGGUUGAGAACACGUUUUAUAAUAUACUAUUCUGAUUCCAUGACGCGUAAUGAUUAAAAAAUCGUUAUGUCAUCCGCCAUAUUUCUUUUUAUCUGUCAAUUGUUAUAGUCAUUUAUUGAUAUCACUGAUGUAUAGUCCAUUAUGCUUAAUGUUUUGUUUUUCUAUUUAUAGCCAACCAGUUUAUAUUAUUAUUAUGUCUACACUUAGAAAUCAGCACGAAAUCGUGACUUCCAAAGCGAUAAUCUACAUUGAGCGACUAAGAAUACAAGUAUCGUCAAUGUAAACUUUGUAGAUACAUAAAUAACUGCCUAAGGAAUGAUAACUGUUGAAAAAUAUCACCUUCCACGUAUGAAACUUUGAAACAUCUAUCCAAGGCACUUUUCACUUCCCUCUUUCUGUUAAAUCAUUUUAAAUUUCAAACAUUUUCAUUAUUUUAUAUAGACAAUGUUGAAUUGGGUAGGUUCUCUUCUCAUAUCUGUCAAAGUUAACAUCAGUCAAAAUGUUUAAUAAUUUUUCACUGAGGGAUGCACAUACAAAACUUGAUCUGAAUAGUAUAUUAUUAGACGUGUUCUUGACAUAAUUAUAUGUUAGUAGAUAAGCACUAUAUAGUCAUUUAUAUACCUAUUUAAUUGUGCCUUAAUAUCAGAGAGAAAUGUUUAAGUUAGUGUGUAUUCCGAUCUAAGAGAAAUAAGUCAACCUUGUAAUUUUUGUUCAAUUGUUUUAAUCGGAAAGUUUACAUUCCAAAUGCACAUUCCAUAAUUAACGUCGACUAUAUAUAAUUUCACAAAAAAACGGAAUAUAUUUUAUCUUUGGGCCCAUUUUCACUGAUGACAUAAAAGUAAGUUUUUCUUGAAACAAUUGCGUACUUUGAAAAUUGAAUGCGAAAAUUCAGUUGUUUUAAGAAAAUUGACGUUUAUGAUCGUGGUGAACAUGGACCAGUAAAUAACAUAGUUCGCGUUGUCAUGGCAAACGCUCACUUAAAUAAUGCUAUUAUGUCUGAAAAGGCAUUGAAUGUACCUAAAACAAGAGUUUGAUAGAACGAGUGUACAAAACUUAUAUAUUAGUCAAGUAGAAGGGAAUAUUGUAAGCUGGUUUAUAUAGGGAAAUAGGUAGAAAGACAAUACUAGUUAGAGCCAAAAAAUUAUCAAGAAAAAGGAUGAUUUAAGGCGUCAAAUAACUAGAAAUGUUCGCAAAAUGUUCUUCGUUGCAAGCAUUUGUUAUCACUUAAAAUAGCAAGGAACGAAUUGUAAUUUAAUAUUAUUCAUGUACUUAUAAUUUUGUCACUUAACAUAGUAAAAUCAUGUCAAAUGCUUUGAAUGUAUGAAAAUUGGUUUAGCGCCAUCUAUCGGAUGACGUUGAAAGCUAAGAUCAAGCAUUUACAAAGUAUGUCAUGCAGUAAUUUAACUGAUUACUAUGUAAGACUUAAAAAAGAUAUAAUAUUUAAAAAAAUAUGUAAAUAGUAAUAAAAAUCAUAUUUCGCAAAAAUAUAAUAGUAAAUAUAAUUUUGUCAUCAUCAAAUAUUUUAGGCUAUGAGUGCCAUUAAAGUUUUAAUCAUUCCUAGUUUAUUUUUUAAUUAUUAAUUAUUAAGAUGGGCUUGCCUGUCAUUUGGGGGGUUUUGGGCUUCUUGUCACAAAUUAACCAAGUUUUUUACUGAAAUAAAAAACACGCAUUGUGUCAGUCAUAAACUUGGUUAUUUUAACCUGUGACCACGGAGUUUUUAUGUGAAGGAGAGAAUAUACGUGAUGUCUUUGUAAUUAAAAAAAAUAUUUUAUCAAAAAACUCAAUGCAAAAAAUAUUGAAAAUUGUACAAUACUUCUGUAGAUACACAUAAAAUUAAUCUAUAAUUAUGUUAUUGUAUGGUGAUUUUUUCAACGAACAGACAACGAAUGUAUUCAAUUAUUAUUGUAGUUAUUCAAUUAAAUGUAGCAUGUAACAUAUA